rnacentral:lncRNA from 1 species
UUUUCACUCCUUAUCCCCUACAUUUCUCCUUCCCCAACCAUGUUCUCUGUUUCAACAAAGCUACCCAGUCUCUCUUUCACCAAAAACCCUAAUCCCCAAAUCCCAGUUUCACCCAAAAUUCAAUAUAAUAAGCCAUUUAUUCGAUGCGAUAUAACAAGGUCUAAAUGAACAUAUGCCAAUCGGAGAAAAGGAAGCUUAAAUCAAUAUAACAUAUUAAACCAUUUAUCCGAGGUCCGUUUCGAGGUGUCUGAAUGGUGGUAAUUCGGUUGUUGUUUCUGGAGGUGGUGAUAGUGUGAAUUUGUUCUAAGAGGCGUGGGAGGUCUGUGUCUAAGAGAAAUUACGGUGAUGAUGUUGGUAGUGCAGCAAGGGUUGUUUCGGAUAGUGAUAGUGAUUGAGGAAUAGGCGGUCUAUUUCGGUUGUUCAGCAUCAGAUUAGUGGCUCCGAGCAUCCAAUAGCAUCAAAGGAUUGGCAACCCUUAUCAUCAAGCAGUGGUGCAGCUUCAAUAGGGCUUUUACAAGUUAUGAAAUCUAUGGUGAUUACCCUAGAUAUCUAGCGUUAGAGAGACGGUUCCAGCCAGUUAAGAAAGGGCCUCAAUUUUUUCCGGCUUUGGGCCUCCAAAUAGGUUGAGCCGACCCUAUUGAUUCAUUAAAAUUGUGUAUCAAAGUUACGAAGUAGCAGAUAGAUCAACUAAAGUUAAAGGAAUAUAAUUGCAUGCAUAGAAAGUUUGACUAAACCAGAGUUUAAUGAGAUGUUUACCAGCUGUUUCCAAAGUUUAGACUGUCGUGAGUGCUACUAUUUUUGAAGUUGAAGUUUGGAUGCAUUUUGAUGAUGAAAGAUGUGUUUGCUUUGAAUAUUGGUUUUUAGGUGAAACAAGAUGAACAAACAAAAGUGUUGGCUUAUAUAACUGUCCCAAAGAAGCUCUGUAAUAGUUGUUGGAAUGGCUGGACUGCUUGAUUAUUUAUUUAUAUAACAUCAUUUUUUCAUAUU